UGGGGAAUAUUGCACAAUGGGCGCAAGCCUGAUGCAGCCAUGCCGCGUGUAUGAAGAAGGCCUUCGGGUUGUAAAGUACUUUCAGCGGGGAGGAAGGGAGUAAAGUUAAUACCUUUGCUCAUUGACGUUACCCGCAGAAGAAGCACCGGCUAACUCCGUGCCAGCAGCCGCGGUAAUACGGAGGGUGCAAGCGUUAAUCGGAAUUACUGGGCGUAAAGCGCACGCAGGCGGUUUGUUAAGUCAGAUGUGAAAUCCCCGGGCUCAACCUGGGAACUGGAUCUGAUACUGGCAAGCUUGAGUCUCGUAGAGGGGGGUAGAAUUCCAGGUGUAGCGGUGAAAUGCGUAGAGAUCUGGAGGAAUAACGGUGGCGAAGGCGGCCCCCUGGACGAAGACUGACGCUCAGGUGCGAAAGCGUGGGGAGCAAACAGG
rnacentral:rRNA from 1 species